UACAGAGGGUGCGAGCGUUAAUCGGAAUUACUGGGCGUAAAGCGCACGUAGGUGGCGACGUAAGUCGGGUGUGAAAGCCCCGGGCUCAACCUGGGAAUUGCAUUCGAGACUGCAUUGCUGGCGUACGGAAGAGGAGGGCGGAAUUCCCGUUGUCGCGGUGAAAUGCGUAGAUAUCGGGAGGAACAUCAGUGGCGAAGGCGGCCCUCUGGUCCAGUACUGACACUCAAGUGCGAAAGCGUGGGGAGCAAACAGG
rnacentral:rRNA from 1 species